UCUAUGGCGAGUUUGAUCCUGGCUCAGGACGAACGCUGGCAGCGUGCCUAAUGAAUGCGAGUCGUGCGAGAACCGGACGAAGGAUUCCUUCGGGAUGAUUUGGUCCGGGGAGAGCGGCAAACAGGUGAGUAACACGUGGGUAACCUGCCCUUCAGACAGGGAUAACCCGCCGAAAGGCGGACUAAUACCUGAUGGUGAGAUACCGACAUAAGUUGGCUUCUCUAAAGGCUCCGGCGCUGAAGGAUGGGCCCGCGGCUGAUUAGCUAGUUGGUGAGAUAACAGCUCACCAAGGCAACAAUCGGUAGCCGGUCUAAGAGGACGGUCGGCCACACUGGGACUGAGACAUGGUCCAGACUCCUACGGGAGUUAGCAUCAGGGAAUCUUGCGCAAUGGGCGAAA
rnacentral:rRNA from 1 species